GGGCGGGUAGCGUAGUGGUCAGCGCAUUCCCUGAGCGUUGCUUUUCUUCCCUAAGCGGAUUUCAGCGUUGUUUUUCUAAAUAUAUACAUCUCAAGCGUUCAUUGAAAGACCUGGGUUCGAUUCCCAGCCCGCCCA
rnacentral:tRNA from 1 species